AACCGGACGAACAAGCUUAUGCUCAAAGCUUUCUUCAUCCGUCAGUUCUAUUUACUCUAAUGGUCAAUGUGCAACUUGAGUUGAUAGUGUAAGCUCACUUUGGUUAAUGUGUAAGCAGGACAGCGGGUGAGUCUUAGCGGCGAAAUGACUUCCACAUAUAAGAGUUCAUGAUGAUUCAUUCAGACAGUAUUAAACAGACCAUUGGAGGAGCGUGCUAGGGCUUUGUGGGUCGCGUGCUAACACACCCUGCAUGCGCAUGUCUUUGAUGUGACACACAGCUCAGUUGUUCCAGCUGCUUUAUCACAAUCCCUCAGUCCUAACCCUGACCCUAUCCACAAUCAUCAUAGAGCUCCUCUUACUGCUGCCACAGUAUCGCUUGGGUGAGGAACUCUUAUCACAUAAUGAAAAACUGUCAGUGGUAGAGGGACUGUGGGCACAAGGACAAGUGAUCAUAAUAGAGGACUUAAGGAGAAAACACAUCAAAAUCUCCACUCAUAAACCACAUGAAAGGAAAACUUCAAGACAAGCAUUGCUUGUAAGGAUCUUUUCCUUCUCAAAUUGCUCUAGCAACAGUGUUCAAAGAUGGAGAACUGCAGUAUCUGGAAGCAGACGUGAUAUUGCAUUAUCUUUGGCUUCAACCCAGCCCCAAAUACUAGAGAACAUAAGCACUGAACUCUGAUCUGGAUUUGACUACUGAUCCACACCAUUUCUGUUCCUUCACUGCAGUACUCAGAGUGUUAGCAAGUUUUUGGGUCACUGCCAUCAGUAUCGAUCCUUCAGCCAUUGGGUUUGCAGCACAGACUCUACCAACUUCCAAAUGACUGUCAACUACUCAUAUGACACGAGAGGCAAUAGAUUGCUGGUAGUUUCUCAAAGUGAAUAUGGUAAAGAAAAAAAAUGCUUGCUUAAAAAACCAAGGCUGAGAACAGACAAAAAUAUGAUACAAAAAUCCUUAAAUCUAAGCUGAGCUAAGGCUUAAACCGCUUACAAAAUGUGAAGAAUCAGAAAUGUUGAGAUAUUUCAGUUUGAUUACUUUCAGUCUCGCCUUUGAAUGGCCCAGACUCCAAGGUCAGAAUGGUUUUCAUUUACUUUUUUUCAAAUUAAUUAAACUUACUGGCUAACAACUGAGAAGAAAAAACAUGCCAACCAUUUUACAAUGGAAAAAUUCAUGUAGUUUUUUUGGACAUACCAUGGUAAUACCUUGGUAUUCUUUGAGAUUGAGAUUCUUGAAAACACAAUGGUACAUUAAUCCAUGAUUUUUCCAGGACUGCUCUAGUCAUUUGUGAUGACUAGAUAAGGAUUUUUAAAAUCACUCUGUAGAUAAUACACCCACAAAGAGCAAUUUCUAGCCAAAUAGUAUAACUAUAAAUAUUUAUAUUGACUGUACAUAUAGAAGAGAUUCACACACUUUUUUCAGCCGAACCCCUUUGACCAAAAAUAAUUUACCAACACGUUUGCUCAUUCAUGGUUCUCUGAUAUUGGUAAAUGGUCACAUGACAUAAAUUAGGGUAAACAUAUAAAAUAUCACUUGUAAAAAUUUUGAUUGUAUUUAUUUAUAAAUUAUUUAUUAAAUUUGAAAUUUUUAUCAUUUAUUAUAAUUAUUAUAUCAUUCAAGUCACAAGACCUCUGCAGUUUCCUCACAAACCCCAGUUUGUGUAUUUUACUAAAUGUUUCCAGCCCUGAAAAUUAUACUUUUAAAUUUCAAUGAUUUUCCAGAACCAUGGGAACCCUGUAUAACACAAUACUUUUACUGUACCAAAGUGCCACCACAGUACUUUUUUUGCAGUGGAAACUUUCCACACAAUGAGAAUGUUACUUUCAUAGUGGUUGAAACUGCCUGACCAGAUUCAGUUGUUUUAUAUAAUCAUCAAGUAAGUAUUAAUGAUGUGGUCACACUAACAUCAUAGCUUCUCAUUAGCAUGCUAUAGUUUAAAUAUCUAUGUAACCAUGUCACAGUGACCAGAACCAGUGACAUUGAUUCAUGUCUCAUCUUUAUGGCUGUAGGUAGAGCACAGUUGACAGGUGGCUGACAGUGAGCAGGCCUGCAGCUGAACCUCUCCUCACUUCAUCCUUCCAUCUUUACACUUCAUUUCCCCCGCCGCUGCGGCAGUCGUGGCAUAUGACUCAGUGCCCUAAGAGUGGCCUGCAACGCUGUCUCCAGGGACCAUCACUGCCUACAGCUUUAACCUGUAGUUAAAACUCAAAAAAAAACUGCUUACUCACUCUGUGCUGCCCACGUCCACCGGCGUUAUCAAACUCUGCAUUAUUUAUGACCGUCUAUCACACCCUCCUUUCCUCUGCCUAUAUUUCUCUCAUCUUCCUGUAUGUUUUCCAAGAUAUCACAUGUCCUUGUAUAUGACCAUGGCCAACUUUAAAUGCUGUUCCUGAUUUACUUCCCAAAUAUGACAUAUUUUAGAUUUAUAUAGCAGUGAAGAAAGGUAAUGUAUUUUGAUUAAAGAUUUUUUUUAAAUAAUAUGCACCAGUGAUUCGUUAAUAAUAGGACACUGAGUAUGUUUUAAGAAGUUGAAUGUGAGUGUAUUAUCUGAGUAUAUGGGGUGAAAUAAUGUUACCACAAAACCACAAAUAAUAAUAAUAAUAAUAUAAAUAAAUAAAUAAAUAAAA